UGUGGAUAAGUGUCAAUAUCGGAAGACCAGCGCGAUGUCUGAUCCGAUGGUUUAUCUACAAGGAUAUUUCUAAAAAAAGAAAAAGAAAAUAUUAUUUUAAUACUUGGCGAAAAAUCCGGCGUUAGAGAAUCAUUACCAUGUAAUAACUGAUUUUUGUUUUAUAAUUACGAAAUGUAUUCAAAGGAAAAUCGUUUAAAUACUAGUAAAGUACUUACUCUGGCACAUAGGAUGAAGAAAAACUGGAGCAUUUAUAAAUUUUGAACUCCAAAACUUUUUGAAAAUUGCUACUCUCGUUGGACGCCAUGUUACACAAAUGACAUAAGCUUUAACACUAAAUACAUAUGUGUACCAUUUUUAUAGAUACAUAUCUAAGGACGAGUGCUGUAUGAAAACAUGACCCGGUGAACGAUUUAAUGUCCUUAAUGUAUAAUUUAAUUUUGCAGUUAAUUGUAAUUAAGUUUCAUUUAAAUAAAUUUCAGUUGAAAUUUUUAAUAUUUUAAGACAGUCUAUUCUCUAUUUGUGUACAACCUUUAUUAAAACAUAGAACACUAUUUGUAAAAUUCAAAUUACAUAUUUGUAAUAAAUGUAGAUAUAACGCUUCAGGACUUUUUAUUAUUUACACUAAAUUAACGAAUUCAUAAAUACAUAUAUUCUAUUCUCUCAUGUAUAUUUAAUAUCGAUAUAUAGUUGCCGGUAAUUAUGAUGGAAUACAAAAAAUAUACACAAUUUACAGUUAUAGGCCAAGGGCAGAAAAGUUAUAACAAAUGAAAUAUGUGUUGUGUGUGUGUGUGUGUUUUGUAUAUAUGCAUAUAUGUGUGCGUAUAUAUGGAUGUAUACAUAUAUGCACAUAAGUUGGUAUAUAUUCUGUAGGAUAAUGUAACGUAUUUUUACAAACAAUACAUGUUCGUUUACUGUACUGGUAGUUAUCUCCUUAAUAGAUGUUACCGCUAAUUAAUUGGCCCCUCCUUACAAUGUUAUGUGUUUAUUGCCUGAUCCGACGAAGAUUUCUCAAAUUAUUCUGCCCU